rnacentral:rRNA from 1 species
CCUACGGGAGGCUGCAGUGAGGAAUAUUGGUCAAUGGGCGCGAGCCUGAACCAGCCAAGUCGCGUGAAGGAUGACGGCCCUACGGUUUGUAAACUUCUUUUAUAAGGGAAUAAAGUGAGGAACGUGUUCCUUUUUGUAUGUACUUUAUGAAUAAGCAUCGGCUAACUCCGUGCCAGCAGCCGCGGUAAUACGGAGGAUGCGAGCGUUAUCCGGAUUUAUUGGGUUUAAAGGGUGCGUAGGUGGUUAGUUAAGUCAGCGGUGAAAGUUUGUGGCUCAACCGUAAAAUUGCAGUUGAUACUGGUUGACUUGAGUACAGUUGAGGUAGGCGGAAUUCGUGGUGUAGCGGUGAAAUGCAUAGAUAUCACGCAGAACUCCGAUUGCGAAGGCAGCUUACUAAACUGUCACUGACAUUGAGGCUCGAAAGUGUGGGUAUCAAACAGGAUUAGAUACCCUGGUAGUC